rfam:Hepacivirus hominis isolate 1316-1 polyprotein gene, complete cds
GUCCCCGUCCUAGGCGGCCCCUUGGGGGGCGUCGCGGCUGCCCUCGCCCAUGGGGUGAGGGUACUCGAGGACGGUGUCAAUUAUGCAACAGGGAACCUUCCUGGUUGCUCUUU